GGUCCCAGGAGCGAAGAGGAAGGGCAGGGCUGGGGCUGUGAGACGCGCGUGACCACAGUCUCCUUCCGGCUGGCCGGCCUCUGGGGGCACGCAGCGCCACACCCAUCAUCUGCACAUCUGUCCGGCAGCUCUGCGACACGGCCCAAACCUGGAGCCAGGGUCCCCACGGCUACACGCGCUCACAGGCUGCAGCGCCUCUUCCGCGGCCGCCCCCCGCCCCGCCCCGAUCGGAGACCCCACCUCUCGCAGGUGCAGCCAGCCUGGAUAAGGGGGGUGAGGCUGGGGGAGGUGGGGAGGCCGCCCUGAGCUGCCGUCACGUGAAAGCUCCAACAAGGAAGCCUCUCUUGGUAGCUGGCGGGACGCAGGAGAAAAAGAAACCGAGAAUCCUCGCGUUCACAGGCAUGAAGAGUUUCCGAGGGUGACAGGCCAGAAGAUUAGCCAGGCCCAGGGUCCUCCGGUAUACAGGAACGGGAAGCCAGCCCCGCCCCUAACAGGUGUAGCUGGACUGGUUCAUGUGUCACAAAGUUACUGCCACUUACCAAUCCAACAGAGAUACAUUCACACGGGUUUGAUGGAAGCAGCGAUACGUGAUAAAGGACCAAUCAACAACAGAA